UACGACUACAUAUCAGGCAUAUCAAUAAGCGGAGGAAAAGAAACUAACUAGGAUUCCCUUAGUAACGGCGAGUGAAGCGGGAAGAGCUCAAAUUUGAAAUCUUCAAGGUUCUACCUUGACGAAUUGUAGUUUAAAGAAGUGUUUUCUGUUGGAGUUUUGGUAAAAGUUCUUUGGAAUAGGACAUCAUAGAGGGUGAGAAUCCCGUAUUUGACCAUUAUUUCCAGCUGUGUGAUACACUUUCAAAGAGUCGGAUUGUUUGGGAAUGCAGUCCAAAAUGGGUGGUAAAUUUCAUCUAAAGCUAAAUAUUGGCGAGAGACCGAUAGCGAACAAGUACCGUGAGGGAAAGAUGAAAAGAACUUUGAAAAGAGAGUUAAACAGUACGUGAAAUUGUCAAAAGGGAAGCGUUUGACACCAGUGUUGUUUUCUCGAAAAUCAAUUAAAAAUAGUUGGAUUUUGUGUUGUAUUGACCUUAACAGCUUGCUUCACUCUUUUCCAGCUUUUUUUAAUGCACUUUUCGUUUAACAAGUCAACAUCAGUUUCUUUUGUUGUAAAAGGGUCAUUGGAAGGUGGCUUUCUCUUCGGAGAAAGUGUUUAUAGCCUUUGAUCUCUGCAAUCGGAGAGACUGAGGUCUGCAGCGUAGAUCCUUCGGGGUUAGAUACAUUUGUGCUAAGCUACAGCUUUUCAUAGACAACUUGUUGACUAUGUUUAGUCUUGUGACUUACCCGCUUAUGCUAUUUUACCUACGCUUAGGAUGUUGAGCGCAUGUCUCUCUCU
rnacentral:rRNA from 1 species